UAUUGUUUUAGUUUUUAAAGUAUUCAUGGGGUUUAACGAAUGUCAAGAACACUUUCUUUUGUGGAAUCUGUCCACGUGUAUCAACACUUCGCCGCAAGUUUCGUCCAUUCGCGGGGUCAGCCAAAGUUCAAUCUGUCCACAGUCAAAUUAUUUCCUUAUCUAUCCUACCAAAUGUAAGAUGUUAAUAGUAUACCUAGCCCUACUUAAUGAGUUGUUUCCUUAUCUAUCCUACCAAAUGUAAGAGGUUAAUAUUGUAGCUAGCCCUACUUAAGGUAGAGACCGAUAGCAACCACGUGAUCAGUAAAAAUCGUGUAUUUUCACGUGAAAUUAUUUUUCGGAAUUCCGUACAUCGCCAUAGAGUAGUUGAAAAACAAAAAGGGGUUCCGAAAGUACAAGUUGUUGCUGUGACUGAUGAUUGAGAGGGUCGUCUCAACAAAAGAUAUAGAAAUUUGGCCAUAGUUUAGAUUAGGAAUACGUCAAUGUAAUAAUAGUGGACUAAAUGUUUCGUCCGUGCAGAAUGGCACUUUUUACCUCACGAAAUUCACCACCAUGCAUAGCUGCGCUACGUAAACAAACUUGUUGAUGUAGCGUGAUCGUGAUGUCCGAGUGCUGCGAGUUUCAAUACUGUUUAUGUAGUCAUUGAGAGUUUAAACAAAGUUUCUUCUGAGAAGAGGAAUUCGAUGGAUGCAUUCAACGUGGACAACGAAAUCAUAAUUUCGUUUGCAUCAUCCUAAGGACCAGUGCAAGUUGAAAUGGGCUUCCAGCCAACAACUUCAACAGCAAUUUGCCAUGAAAAUCAGCAAGAAAGGUACUUCAUUUACAUUGAUGAUGUCAUAUCCCCUGGACCCCACAACUUUACAGGUUACAGAGAAAAUUCAAGAACUUCUGCAAAAUGUGGGACUUGGAUAGAGUCAAUAAUGUAUUUGUGAGCCCAGAGCAAUGGAUAUAUUGUGCAACAUACUAAAGUGUGAAUUUAAUGGAAAACAAGUACAUGUACUCAUGUAUUACAUGUCUUUUUUAAAGACAAUAAUAUUGUAUAAAUAUAGAGGAAGUGUCAUUGUUGAUUAUUCUAAGUUUUUGAUAUAUCAAAAUCAGUAAACAUUUCUAAAUGAAAAUAAAAUACCAAUUUUAUAACUUUAA